AUUGAACGCUGGCGGCAUGCCUAACACAUGCAAGUCGAACGAGUGGCGGACGGGUGAGUAAUGUCUGUGAACCUGCCCGAUGGAGGGGGAUAACUACUGGAAACGGUGGCUAAUACCGCAUACCAUCGGAUGUGCCCAGAUGGGAUUAGCUAGUGGGUGGGGUAACGGCUCACCUAGGCGACGAUCCCUAGCUGGUCUGAGAGGAUGACCAGCCACACUGGAACUGAGACACGGCCCAGACUCCUACGGGAGGCAGCAGUGGGGAAUAUUGCACAAUGGGCGCAAGCCUGAUGCAGCCAUGCCGCGUGUAUGAAGAAGGUCUUCGGGUUGUAAAGGACUUUCAGCGAGGAGGCGUUACCCGCAGAAGAAGCACCGGCUAACUCCGUGCCAGCAGCCGCGGUAAUAC
rnacentral:rRNA from 1 species